CGGUGGAGCAUGUGGUUAAUUCGAAGCAACGCGAAGAACCUUACCAGGUCUUGACAUCCCGAUGCUAUUUCUAGAGAUAGAAAGUUACUUCGGUACAUCGGUGACAGGUGGUGCAUGGUUGUCGUCAGCUCGUGUCGUGAGAUGUUGGGUUAAGUCCCGCAACGAGCGCAACCCCUAUUGUUAGUUGCCAUCAUUCAGUUGGGCACUCUAGCGAGACUGCCGGUAAUAAACCGGAGGAAGUGGGGAUGACGUCAAAUCAUCAUGCCCCUUAUGACCUGGGCUACACACGUGCUACAAUGGGCGGUACAAAGGGUCGCGAACCCGCGAGGGGGAGCCAAUCCCAAAAAGCCGCUCUCAGUUCGGAUUGCAGGCUGCAACUCGCCUGCAUGAAGAUGGAGUUGCUAGUAACCGCAGGUCAGCAAUACUGCGGUGAAUACGUUCCCGGGUCUU
rnacentral:rRNA from 1 species